CGACUCCCGCAAUCCCCGCCAGAGCACAUGGGUCCCAGUCUCUCUUCGCCCUCUACCCUCCCGGCGUUUCUCAAGAUCCCUGGCUCGUCCCGCUCCGGCGCGGAUUUCCUCCAGGGCUCGACGUGAGAGGUGAUGGGGUGCGCUACGGUGCAUUCGGGCUCGUUUGUUGAGAAAAGUUAGUGAGGUUUAGUCAGUAGGAAAGCCUUCAAGCUUACGCACCGCACCAUCAAGCCCUAACUCCAAAGUGAUGAUGAAGAAGAGACACCAGAGAGUGCUCUCCCCUACCUGCCCCCUACCCGACAAGGACAGGGUGAGAACGAGAAGGUGGCUAUCUGCAAAUCAGGAAAAGGGAUCUCACCAGAACCUGAAUGUUCGGGUACUCUGAUCUCAGACUUCUAGCCCCUAGAACUGCGAAGUAAGUGUCUGUGGUUUAAGCCACCCAGUCUAUGGCAUUUAGUUAUAGUGGCCCAAGCUAGGACAGACCUUAUGGUAAGCCCCAGAGGAAAAAUCACAGUGAGGUCCCUGGGACUGGAGCAAAGCCAUGCCACCUGCUGCAGAGAAGUAUAUACAUUUGAAGAACCAGCUACUGGUUAAAAAAAAAAAAAAAAAAAAAAAAAAAAAAAAAAAAAAGAACCGGCUACUGGUGUGAUACUGGGCCUUGGUAGAGAAUAAACGCUUAACCAUGGGACGCCAAGUAAGCAUGUGUUCAGAGCUGCCUCUUAUGGCCUGGAUUCUUUUGGUUCCAAGGACCCAGCAGCAUCUAUUUUAAGAUGGAAAUGGUACCUCUGAGAUGGAGCUCAGGCACAGUUGAGGUACUUGUAAGUUGUAUGACCAGGUAGUCCAGACCCCCGUGUCACCCCCCGCCGCUGCAGCAAUACCAUGACCAGCUGAAGGAAGAAGGGUAAAUCCUGAGUUUGGUUUGUGGAUGAGUCAGCUUAGUAUGUGGGUGUAAGCCAAAAUUAGACAGUGACGGCCUUAUAGCCACAUUCUUGAGAGGCUUUGAAAAACAGCGGAAAGGAAAAACUCUUCUUAAUGAGUAGAGUUACAAGCAUUGUCCCUGGUCAUCUACUUUGUGUAUAAGGAGAAGCAGACUGAACUAAGAAUAUGUAUAAAUAUAGAUUCUUGGGCAGGGGUCAAUGGCCUAGCCCCCUGGUAGGACACCUGGAAGGAAAAGGACUGGAAGAUCAAAGACAGGAAACUCUGGGGUAGAGUCUUAAGGGUGAAUAUACGGGAGUGGGCAUGAAAUGUGAAGAUUUUUGUAUCAUGUUUUUGUACCCACCAGGGAGGAAGUACUAAACAAUGAAGUAGUCAGAAUGACUCGUCUAAUUGGGUCAACAGGCUCAAGCACUGGCUACUUGGAACCAGCCUAAUGGGCACUGUAGAGGGUUAUAUUGUAUCCCCCCCCAAAGUUUAUAUGCUCAAUUUCUAAUCUCCAACCAGGUGCUGUAGUUCAUUCUACUUAUCUUUCUCUUUUUUUUUUUUUUUUUUUUUUUUUGUCUUUUUAGGGCCAUAUCCACAGCAUAUGGAGGUUCCCAGGCUAGAGGUUGAAUCCAAACUGUAGCUGCUGGCCUACCCUACAGCCACAGCAACACCAGAUCCAAGCCGUGUCUGUGACCUACACCACAGAUCAUGGCAACACCAGAUCCUUAACCCAUAGAGUGAGGCUAGGGAUCGAACCUGCGUCCUCAUGGAUGCUAGUCAGAUUCAUUUCCACUGAACCACGACAGACACAACAGAACUCCUCAUUCCACUAAUCUUUCUUUUCUAAGUUUCUUUUUAGGAGGAAAGGCCCAUGAAAGAGCUUCUUCCCAAACUGUUAGAUCUGUGGGGCAAAGGAGUGGACUGCAGUGUUUCUAAAAAUGGGCCACUGGAUUUCCUGCUGUGCAGAGUAUAGUCAGUUGAUGGCUCCAGUUACUGAGGCCACACUUCCCACACCAUAUUCCUAACUAAUGACUGAGCAUGCGGAGUAAUAACAUAGCUCAUUCCUUCAAGACUUGGGGCUCCCCCAAUGGACCACUUUGGCUAGAGGGAGCUAUUCUUCAGAUUCAGAGUUCAGAGGGAAAUUUAAAGACAGGAGAUUUAUGCAAAGAAAACUUUUAUAGAAAUUAAAGAUAAAAUCAGAAAUUGAUGAAACAGAAAGCAGAAAAACAGGAGAGAAAAUCAACAAAGCCAAAACUUAGUAACAUUCAGAAGGAUUAGAAAAAAAAAUCAACUCUUAGCAAGACUGCUCAAGGAAAACUUUAAGAAAACACAUUACCAAUAUCAGCAAUAAAAAGGACAUCUCUGGGAGUUUGGGCCUAGCGGUUAAAGAUCCAGUGUUGUCACUGCGUGGCUUGGGUUCGAUCCCUGGCUUAGGAACUUCCACAUGCCUCGGCAUGGCCAAAAAAAAGAGGACAUCGCCACAGGUCCUAUAGACAUUAAAAAUAUAAGAAAAUAUCAGGGGAUACAACUUUAUACCAAUAAAAUUGGCAACCUAGAUGAAGUGAAAAAUUUUAUUGAAAAAUAAAGCUUGAAACUGAAAUAAUAAUAAUUCUGUAUUUUAAAGGAAUUGAAUUCAUAAUUUAAAACUUUUCUACAAAGAAAACUCCAGAUGGCUUCACUGGUGAAUUCUCUCCAACAUAUAUAUUUCUUUUAGAAAGGCAUAAAAGGCGUAUUCACACUUUCUGAUGCUUAUAUAUCACGCACUCUAUUUGUGCGUUAACUUCCCCCUGCUCCAUGCCUCAUUCAUUUAGCACAUUACGUUAGGAGUCGUAGAUAAAAAGAUGAAUAACGUUUUUGGCAGCAGGAGCUUUCAGAUUGGUGGAAGAAGCAGCCAUGUAAUGUAAAUGCCAUGAAAUAGGUGCUAAUAAAGAUUUUUAUAAAGUACUGUGAGAGAUGGGUGUGAAUCCAGGGAAGGAAAGGCUUUACAGGCAGGAGAAGUGAAACAGUGUGCCAUGUGCUGUAGGCAUAAAAAUAACUGGGAAACAGAGGACAUCCUUUCCCGGUCUUCCUUCCUGGAUCUUCUCCCCUUCUCCCCUCACAUUUUCAGUACCUCAGGGUUCUUCCUUGACUUCUGUUUUUCAGUCUCCUCCGUUUCAAACACUCUCACAUUCGUCCCUUUCAGAUAUAACUUAAUCAUUCCAAAAUAUGUUAUCUCCAGCCUCCAGCUCUCUCUUGAGCUCCAGGCCUAAGUAUUUAAAUAUCCAGAGAACUCCCCUACUCAAGCGCUUUGUUUCUCUCUUGUUCUCCUCUCUCCCCUGCAUCACCAGUCUUCUCUCCCUUCUUGGAAGAGCCCUCCCUUGAUGGCAUGUGCCUCUUCAGCUACUACUAUACUACUUUUCUUCUCCCCUUUAUAUCAUCAUCUCCCUUUCUUUCUACUGUAUCUUAACCUUUUAUGAUACUUAAAAACCUUUCAUGGGUCUUUUAUCCCCAAUAUUCUGCUGAGAUGUCCCUUAUCAAGGUCAUCAAUAACCAUCAUGUCGCCAAAUCCAGUUCUCAACUCCUUUGACCUAACGGCAGCAUUGAAGCCGUUGCUCAUGUCCUCUUCUUGAAAGACUUCUACCUGGCUUCACCCGCUACUGAUUUCCUUCUCACCUCACUGGACGCUCCUUCUUAGUCUCUUGGUCGGAUCUUCUCUCUCAUCACAGCCAUUAAGUAUUAGAGUAUUCUGUUGUUCCAUCCUUGGGCUUCUGCUCAGUUUUUACUUACAAUCAUCUGAGAACUCUUAACCAGUUCUAGCAUCUUAAAUGCCAUUGUAUGUUGUAAUUCCAAAAAUGUAUAUCUAUAUACUUGACCCCGCCCCUGAACUCCAGACUCAUAUCUCCAGUAGCUACUCUAAUUGGAUGUCUAACAGUAUUCCAAACUAAACAUGUCUAAAACCAAACUCUAUCAAACCUAAUUCCCUUCAGUCUUCUCCAUCUCAUAAAUGGCUCUAUGAUUCAGUCUGUUGCUCAGGCCAGAAGUGUUGGAGUCAUUGUCAACGUCUCUCUUUUUCUGUUACCCUCAUUCAGUCCAUUAGCACAUUGCAUCAGCUCUGCCUUCAAAAUGUAUCUCAAGUCUGGGAGUUCCUGCUGUGACACAGUGGGUUAAGAAUCUGACUGCGUGGCCCUGGUUGCCGCGGCAGCACAGGCUCAACCCUUGGCCCAGCUCAUUGGGUUAAAGGGUCUGGCAUUGCCACAUCUGUGGCACAGGUCACAGCUGUGCCUCUGAUUCGAUCCCUGAUGGAUAUAUAUCAAGUAUAUAUAUGCUUGAUAUAUAUAUCAAGUCUGAUCAGUUCUCACCAACUUCUCUCACCUAGACCCCUUCUUCCUAACUGGCUGCCCAGCUUUUACACUUCCCCCACUACAGUCUUUGGGGAGUGAUCUUCUACAGUGUAAGUGAGGACAUACCACUCCUGUGUUCAAAAACCCUCCAAUGAUUCACAUCACACUUAAGAUAAAACCCAGAGUUUUCCCCCAUGGUCUACGAAGACUUGUGAUCUGGCGUCUUGCUCUACUCUGACCUUAGCUUCUUCCAUUCUUCCCCUCCUUUAGUCUGUGCUUCUAUCACGCUAGUCUCCUUGUCAUUCCUGAAACAUAUGACAAGCACAUUCCCUGCACUGGACUUAUGCACUUCCUCUUGACUCUGUCUGGACUACUCUUUCUCCAGGAAUUCACGUGGCUCAUUUCCUCUCUGUUCAGAUGGUACCCCUUCAUGGGUACCACUUCAUCUAAAAUAACUUUCUCCUUUAUUUGCUGUGAUUUUACUCUGCUCUAUUUUCUUUCAUAGCUUGUAGCAUUACAGAGAUCAUAUCGUGUGUGCAUUUGUUUGUUGGAAAUGUGUUAUCUGCUUUCCACAGUAGAAUGUGAACUCCACAGGGUCAAGGAAUUCAUCUGUUUUGUUCAGUCACCAAAUCCUAUCAGUUCUACCCCUUAAAAUAUUUUCAGUCCAUCUUCGUCUCCGUCAUCACUACCUUUGCCUUAAUUCAGUUGCCAUCAUCACUUGCUAGGACUAUUAUUGUAUUCUCCUACUUGACUAUCUGCCUUCACCUUCUAUUGAGACCUUUCUCUCACAUGACUACCAAUUCGAUAGCACUAUAGUUAAUAUGUAUUCAUGUCUCUCCUACAUAGAAUCCUUUAUAGGGUACACGCCCUUUGCAUAUUGGGUUAAGUUCAAGCCCCUCAGCACAGCAUCCAAGUCAUCUCCUGCCACCUUUACUUUUACUCUCCAGCAGCACCAAACUGCUUAAAUAGCCUCAUGUCCUUGCCUCUGUUUUUGGGACAUACUGGUUCUUCUAUUUAGAUGCCCUUUCCCGACUCAGAGAUAGAUAAAUAUUUCUUCCUUUGGCUGUACUUCCCAUUGCAUUCAUUAUACUGCGAUGGAUUUUUUUUUUUCCUUACAUGUAGGUCUCUUAUUACAGUGAUCUCUUGGGGGAGAGAGAGUUCUAUCUUGUUGAGGGUGCAGCUCCUGUCGCACAGUAAUGGGUAGAUGGAGAUGGGAGUAGGGCGUGGAGAAUGUUCAAAGUAGAAAGGACUGUGUGUGUGAUCACUCUGAAGCAUGAGGGGGCUCGGCAUCUUCAGAAAAGAGAGAAGGACUGUGUGACUGAUCUAGUAAGGGGGAGAGUGGCGGGAGGCAAACUGGAAAGACUCUGGGAACCAGAUCAUGCAAGGCCCUUGUCGAACAUGCAAAAGAUGUUGAAUUGUGAGAAAAUGAGAAAUGGAAAGUCUCAAAAAAGCUUUAAGGAGAAAAAGAUGAAGUUUGCAUAAAAAAAAAAAGCACUUUGCUUGCUUUGUAAACAGUAGAUUGAAAGAUAUCAAGAAUGACCAGUGAGGGACCUGCUGGGCACUAUUGUAAUAGUCCAGGCAGAAAGAGAUGAUGCCUUGGCCUGGGCUUUAGCUGGGGGGGUGGUGAGAAGUAAAUAGAUUCAAGUUAUAUCUUGGAGAUAAACUGGAUCAGGUUUAGUGAUAGAAUAAAUGAGGGCGUGAGGAAGGUAGAUAACAUAACUGCUGAAAUGCAGCUGAUUUGCCAGAGGAGGGUCAAAGAAGAAGUAGCUAAGUUUCGAGAAGUUAAGUUUGAGAUGCUUGAGUACGAGACAUGUAAAGGGAUGUGCCAAAAAGGCAGUUGAAUAUGGAGGUAUGAAUUUCAGAAGUGUAACUGAGCUGGAAAAAAAACUGUCAUGAGUACACAGACUGUGUAUAAAUCAUAAGAGAACCUAAGGAGAGAUCACAGUAUAAAGAGAAGAUUAUGGAGGAUGCAUAAUUGAGAAGAAAUUCAUUGGAUUGGAGGAAAUGAGGCAGGAAACUGAGAGGGCCACAUGGACUUUAUAACUGCCCAGGGGGUGGCAGAAGUUGACAGGAAACUUGGAUCCCGCAUUGCUGUGCCUGUGGUGUAAGCCAGAAUCUACAGCUCCAAUUCGACUCCUAGCCUGGGAACCUCCCUAUGCCAUGGGUAAGGC
rnacentral:lncRNA from 1 species